GGCCGGCGGGACAAAGUGUGGCAGCUUCAAAAGCCGUCGAGCCGAGGGGGACUCCCCAAAGCCUCGCAAGCGCGGCCCUUGAGAAGGAAGGACGCACCGUUGAGGAACAUGCCCCUUCGACUGCGACAACUCACGCGGUUUCCAACACUCUCCUUAAUUCUCAUCACCGGAUUUGGAGUUGCAGGUGGUCUUUAUAUCCUUGCAAGGAAGACCUUCUUUGUUCCUGAAGUGAGCUUGGAGAAAAACCAAGAAUUGUGGAAUAACCUGGGUCCCAGUGACAAGUUAUUUGCCAUGUCCGUGGACUCCAAAGACCUGAAGAAGGAUCGUCCAGACUGCUGAAAGUGUCACACUGAGUUAGUUCCCUACUCCUGCCAUGUUGAAGGAAAGUUGCUGGACUUGUCAUUGGCACAGCUGCAUCUUCUGCCGUCUUGCCAGGCAGAACAUGUCAGCCUUUCGAGAGUUCUCGAUUAAGCUUCUGCCUCAGCCAAGAUAACUUUGCAGCUGUUCUUCCCUGCCUCUGCAGUUUGCUGGUGUCAACCGCAAAGAUCACCAAUCAACAUCUACAGCCCAUCCAACAGAAUGAAAAGUGCGCAGUGACCCAUUCUACCUCUGGGAAAUGCCCUUAGAUAUUGAGCUGACAAACAACUUGUUUAUUUAAAAAAAAAAAAUCAGGAGGGUGGGGGGAAGAGAGGGAGAGGCAAAGUGACACAAAGCGCAUUCUUUUUGGUCCCAUUUGUGCAAACUUUUUGGUUCAGUAUUUUCCUUCCCUUCCUACAAAAAUCCUUGACCUUGAUGCGUGGCAUUUCCUGCCUCCCACGCUCAGUUUUACCAUUCCCACAGAGACAGGAUAGUCCCAGCACCUAGAUCAGUGAUGGAGAACCUUUUGGGCUUGGUGUGUCCAAAAUUUGAAAAAUGCCUAAUUUGACUCACUACCCACCCCCUCAAACAAAAUUCGUUACAUACUCAUUUGUUUAAAAAACAUAUACAUGUGUGAUUCCCACAAUCUGCUGCACACUUCCCUCAGGUGGUGUUCUCUUUCUGUUGACAGGCCGCUGCGGCAGCUCUGGGUCACCCGGGGCCUUCAUUCUUGAACCGGCUUGGGAGAAGGCUCUUCCACGGCCUCUGCAGCCUCCGAAAACCACAAAAGCACAUCCCAUUCUUGUAUGAUUUUCAGAGGUUCUGGAGACUGCAGAAGUCCACAGCCUUCUCAUGUGACUUCUGGAGGGUCCGGAGGCCACAUGAGAACAUUUUUUUUAUUUUUUAUUUGAUUUAUAUGCCGCCCUUCUCCGGAGACUCAGGGCGGUUUACAGUGCGUUAAGCAAUAGCCUUCAUACUUUUGUAUAUUUAUACAAAGUCAGCUUAUUGCCCCCACAAACUGGGUCCUCAAUUUACCUACCUUAGAAAGCAUGGAAGGCUGAGUCAACCUUGAGCCUGGCGAGAUUCGAUCUUACUUUUAACUGCAGACAGCUGGUGUUAAAUUACAGUGCUUCUGUCUGUUGAGCUAAACCAGGCUCCCUAUUAACAUACCCUAUUCUCACACGGCCUCCAAAAUUUGUGCAAGAACAGGGUGUGCUUUCAAAAAUAUUGCCGGGUGUUGGUGAAUGUCAGUGUGUCACCCAAAACACAGUGUGUCACUCUUGACAUUGUGCCAUAGGUUCACCAUCAUUGACCUAGAUAUUGGCAUUAAUAAUGCCAGUUGAAUUCUUUUAGAGGACACUGCCUAUCACCAAUUCUGAAAGGAGUCCCAAGUGAUCCAGAUUAGUCUGCAGAUGUAUCACAUUUUCACAGAAUCUAUCUGGGCUUCAUUAGGAGUACAGGUAGCUCUUGACUUAUAACAGUUCAUUUAGUGACCAUUCAAAGUUACAACAGCACUGAAAAAAGUGACUUAUGACCAUUUUUCAUACUUAAGAUGAUUGCAGCAUCCCCGUGGUCAUGUGAUUUACAUUCGGAUGUCUAUGGAGAUUCUCAGUCAUCCAGGUCAUGCUUGAAAACCGGUUCGUAUUUAUGACGGUUGUAAUGACCCGGGGUCAUAUGAUUAUCUUUUGCAACCUUCUGACAAGCAAAUAUCAAACUGCUAAGCUGUUUCAAAAAGAGUUGAAACUAGUUUGAGAGAGGUAUUGCAUCUGUUAACAGACAUAUACACCAGCUAGCUCACUUUUGUCUCACGCUCUUGUCUCACAGGCUCUCUGGGAAGAAUUUAAUAAUAGAAAAACCUGUAAGACCAUUUUCUCAGUAGCAACACGAGGUGCGGAUUGGCAGACCAUAACCACCUAGAGUUGGGACUGGGAGUCAUAAAAAUAAUUGCACGAUUCUCUUUCAAACUAUCUUUAUCUUUGGGAAAAUUGUGUCUUCCCUAUCUGGGUUCUUUGGCUCCAACCACAAAACAUACAUACAGGCCAGAGAUAGACCAACAGGCCACAAGUGACUUGCAACUUGAUCCUCACUCUUACAAACCACCGCAUCAUCCUCAUAGUCACAUGAUUGAAAUCCAGGUGCUUGGCAACCAGCAUGUAGGUACAAUGGUUGCCGCAUCCCAGAGUCGUGUGAUCACUAUCUGUGACCUUCCCAGGCAGCUUCCAACAAGCAAAGUCAAUGGAAGAAGCUGGAUUCGCUUAACAACCACACCCAUUCAGUUAAUAGUGAUUUGCAGCUUUGGCCAAAAGGAUGUAAAAUCAGGCACGAUUCAUUUAAUUUAACAACAGACAUUUUGGUCCCAAUUGUGCUCAUAACUCUAGGACUAUCUGUACUGUGCAGAUCCCAAAAGCUACUCAAAAUUUAGUCUCAAGACCCUGCCCUCUCCCCCACUCAUUCCUUCGUCCUUUUUCUUUUCUCUGGGGCCUACAGCAGUAGGGAACAUGGUCACUUACCUCUCUGCCAUUCAGCUGAUGUGGUCUGUUGCUACAGGACCAGAUAAAAGGGCACCUGCUAUUAGAUUGCUCCUUGUUUCUUUCUCUUUUAAAAUAGCAGUGGGGGAAGAUCCCCCAUUUUCAUUCCCACUAUGGGAGGAACACUGGACACUUUCUUCACCCCCCCCCCCUGUUUUCUGAUGGAAAUUAUCAGCUCUGAAAGAAUAAUUCUUUCAAAGCUGUUCUUUGCCUACUGGGUGUCAGAAACAUAGGCCCAAAGCCUUUUCCCUCUGUCCGCAUGUGCAAAACUAACCACGGUUAUGAGAAAGGUUAACUUGGAUUAGAAAAUAAUACAACAUGAAAACAUUGUCAGAAACCUGCCUCUAGCGCCACUGCUUCAGUCCCAAAGGAUUUCAUCCUUGUUGCAGCUCUUUUAAAAUAAAAAUAAAUAAUUAGCAUCAAGGAACUCCAUCCCCAACUUUCUACAUUAUUUUACUUAGGGUUCGCUAAGCUCUCUGGAGUCUUUACCUUCCUCCACUUCGAGAUCUAGGAUCAUAAGCAUAGCAUAGCUUGGCAGCCCCAGAGCAAAUCUUUCAGAUAUGCUCCAAAAUUUCAACUUUAAUUUUCAAUUUAAGCACCAGCAUCUACAUUGGGGCUUGAAAAUUUAACCUGCAAUUUGGGGAAACAGCAGCAGCAGUGAAAGAGCAACAGACACAAUAAUGCCAGCAUGUUGCAUCAGCAGGAAAGCUGUCAGAUCAGGCCUGCAAAAAUCAGCAGCAAAGAAUGUUCUGUCUCACUCUUACCUGUGACUAUGGUCUUUUUAGUCUGAAAGAAAGAAGAUGGUGGCAUGGAUAAUACCACCCAUCUGACAGUUGCAGGGAAAGGUUGCCCCACUUAUCCAUAGCUUUCUUCACCUGUGGCUUCACUUCUAUAUGUUGGAACCAGUGGUGAAAUUCAAUUUUUUUUACUAUGGGUUCUGUGGGUGUGGCUUGGUGGGCAUGGCUUGGUGGGCAUGGCAGGGGAAGGAUACUGCAAAAUCUCCAUUACCAUCCCACUCCAGGGGAAGGAUACUGCAAAAUCCCCAUUCCCUCCCCACUCCUGGGGGAAGGAUAUUGCAAAAUCCCCAUUCACACCUUACUCUGGGGCCAGCCAGAGGUGGUAUUUGCCAGUUCUCCAAACUACUCAAAAUUUCCACUGCCGGUUCUCCAGAACCUGUCAGAAUUUCACCCGUGGUUGGAACUCUCUAGGCCAGUCUCUAAGUUCCUCUGUGGCAUGCAUUUCUUUUUAAAGACUGAAGGGCUAGCUGGAAGCUUCCAUGCCUGUGGAGCCCAUGGUAGCUAUCAUCUGUUCCUCACUGUCUUUAGGCCAUAGUCAAGAUGCAUUCGUGCAUCCUGCAGUUAUUUGGUGGGAGUGGCUCGUUUCCCACCAAAGUUAAGCAGGGUCAGACUGGAUUUGUACUUGGAUAGGAGACCACCAGGAAAUCUUUCUAAGAAGACAAAACAUCUUGGAACAAUAUCCUGUCCAAGAAAAUCUGUGAAGCUGCCAUGAGCUAAGCUCCAUUGAAAGAGUCUUUACCUUUACUUUUCUCCUAUCCUGUCAGCCCUCAGUUCAACUCAGGCUUUCUUUCACAGAUUUCCUUUAAUUUUAUACUAUUACAGGACAUGAAGUGAUUAGGAAUUACAGUACAGCAAGGUAAAACUGCAGUUGUUUUUAUCCUCUGCUUCACCUAAGCCUUACAUGCCUUCUGUCAUACCUCACACCAAGAUAAUUUCCUUGCAGAGAAAAAAAAUGAUACCUCUGCUCCUACACAGAAUAAAUUAUUUAAAUCUGCUGAGAUUCAGAACUGACAUCCCAAAUCAACCUAAGUGGUGAUCUGAAUCCAGACCUGAGGCUCAGCUGCAUUUUGUCUAACCACAGUUAGUGCAACAAGCCGUGGUUGAUGUCUAAACCAUAUACAUAGUUUAUUACAACUUCCCAUAAUCUCUUCAUGAUUAUUCUGCAAAUCUGUAAUGUACCAAGUGUCUUGAUGUGCUAUUUUCAUGCUGGUCUGCCAGGUAAUGUAAAUCUGGCCUUUCUUUUUAACAGCCCUACAAUUCUCCAAUCCAUUAUUCAUUCUUGUCCCUGCCUUCUAGAACAAACGUUGACCCUUAAUAGAGAAGAAGGAGAAAUCCAGUUUGGCCCAGAAGUUGAGACUGGGAGACAGUGAGUUCUAGUCCCAUCUUUGGCACAAAACCAGCUGGGGGAUCUUAGGCCAGUCAUUUCUCACCAUCCUGGGAAGUACGUAAUGGCAAACCAUUUCCAAAAUUUUGCCAAGAAAGCUGCAGGGACUAAUUCAUCAGUUGCCUGGAGUCAACAAUGUGCACAAAGGUGCACAAAUGCACACACACAUACAAGAAGGACCAGUGAAUGAAUAAAUUGCCAUGGCUGUAUAAGCAAUUUUUUAAAACUGCCAUAGAAAAAGACAUGAUUUCCACCUGGCAGUCUUGCAGGGCUGGGAUUUAACUGUAUAUGUAAAUAUAGUGCAAAUAAUCAGCUACACGACUGUAACAUUAGAGUGUAAGCUUGUUUUGUACUCCUGUUUUACAGUUAUUACAACUUGAUGGCCCUCCUUCCCAAGAUAGGUCAAAUUUCCUAUAGCUGUUGUCUUUUAGCUCUAAAAGCAAAGGGGGGGGGGUUGGUCGGGGUGGAUGACCCACCAUCUAACAAGUCUGCUGUGAAAAAGUGGCACGUGUUGUUUCCUGCUGCUCCCUUAAAUCUCUAGUUUCCUGCCACCCUGUAGGAACAGAUGACAGUUCUGCUUGGACUCAGGAGAAAAAUGCAACAUUCACUAUUAUCCGUGAUUGCCCUCCCACUCCCUUCCUCUCCCCCCUCCCCCGCCACCUAAGCCACAGACGCCGAAAGCAAAAUCCAAUCGCGUUGAACAAAUCCAAUUUGCAGUAGCAGCUAAUAGAGUUUGUUGCUGGUUUAAGCGAUGGCAGCGUCAGAAAGGCCUCUAGGCCUCAGGCCAAAUAGAGAAAGAAUGAAGUUGGCUACUGAACCAUCCACACAUAUGGGGCUGGGCAAGCUUUUUUAAAAAAUCCCCCCCCCUCAAUCUUUGACUGGGCUCCAGAAAAAAUGAAAUUUACCAGGAGAACAAUACAAUUACAUCUCUAUGCAUUCUCCUGUUUGGAUUAAGAUCAGGCAAAGGCGAAGAGGAAAACUCAAGGGCCGCUGAGAUCAAACUCCUGUAGGCAGCCCUCAUCUCUAUUUCUCUCAUUAGCUUCCUUCUUCCUUCCUAAAAGCAACAACUCAGUUGUGGGUCAUAAAUGCAGCCCAGCCUCUUUCAUAGAGCCCUUCCUUGCUGGCCCACUCUUCUUCCAUAUGAUGGGACACCUCUACAUUUCUGAGAGGGGAAAGGUGACGGGUUCAGGUCCAGACACUGAGCAAGUUUCUGUAUGUCUAGAACAGUAAGAUCCUGAUUUGCUGCUGAGUAUAUCAGUCUAUAAUGGCAAAAGAACUGGUCUUUAGGUACAUGUGUCUGUAGGUACGUAUUUGCGUCUAGAAGGGAAACAUAAUAGUCUAUAAAGGAAUUUCCUGCAUUUCAGUAUAAAUAAAGGUGUAGACUAGAACUAUUUCUUCUCUAUCUGCUCUAGCAAACAGCUAUCUUCGUACCAAAUGUGAAUUCAUGGUUAACUGAACCAUGUUACUGGAUUAACCCGAUUGCUUAGACAUGCACAAUAUACCCAAUCGUUAAGUCACCACACUGAGCCACAGGCAAAGCAAUUACACUUAAGUUCCCUUAACAACAGCCAGAAAAUGCAUCAUUCUUGAAGGUCACUUCUACACUUCUACUCAUCUUCAAUUUGUAGUCAGGGUCAGUUAUCUGAUACCACAUUAAGCUGGUGCCUUGUACUUUUCCCAACACAGGUGUGAUAAGAUUCAUUUCAAUACAGUUAGUCCUCACUUACUGACUGCUUCAUGCAGCAACCAUUCAAAGUUACGACACUUCAAAAAAAAAAAAAAAACUUUGCAACCCAGCCUCACAUUUACAAUCCUCGCAGCAUCCUGCAGUCACAUGAUUGUCGUUUGCUUACUUUCGCAACUGGCAUGUAUUUUCGCUUGAGUCAGGCAGAAUUAAUACUGUACACUAUGGAAGGAGGAAGUAAAAUUAUAAGUCAUGCCCACAUAAUUUUUUGUUUCGUGACCCUAUGUCUUCACUUAAUAACCAAAGGGGAAGUAAGAUUAUCCAAUGCAUUCAGAAAGUAUUCUGACCCUCCUUCACUUUUGCCAAUUUUGUUGUGCUGCAGCCUGAUUCUACUGUUGUUGAAUUCAACCUAAAUUUCUAAAAUUCUAUUUUCACUUUGCCAUUAUGGGGUACUGAGUGUGGAUUAAUGAGAAAAGAAAAUGAAUGUCAACAACUGUAGAAUCAGCCUGCAGCAUAACAAAAUUGACAAGGGGGUCUGAAUACUUUCUGAAUGCAUUGUAAGUCCAGUCAGGGUCACAUGAUUUUCCACCUAGUGACCAUGUUGCUUAGCAACUGAGUUACCGAUCCCAAUUGUGGUUGCUACGUGAGGACUACCCGCACAUAGUAAUGUAUAACAUCUUUUAGAGUCAUCCAACUAUUGUUGCUUCAACUUAAUGAGGGCAGGUUUUACAGUAUAUCAUCUCAGUAGCUAGGUGAUGUUAUGAAGGCGCUAGAAGUGAGGAAACGACCUAAGUGACUAGUGAUGCUUUAGUAGAGAGUGUGGUAUUAACACAACGGGGGCUGGGAGGUGGAAUGGGAUAACUCACCGCAGCCCACCUACCAUGACUAACUCACCACAGGACAACUUGCCGCAGCCAACUCGCCACGGUGACAAUUCAAUGCGGAAUAACUCAAGAGAUGGACAGGUAGAAUUGCAGGUCAUUCCAGCCUUGAGGACUUCUAGCUUGAGAAGGUUCCAACCUAAAGCAAGACAAGACUCGCACUGUAAUUCACUUGUCCCUCUCUUGAGUUAUCCCACUUGAAUUGUCCCAUAGCGAGUUGUCCUGCGGUGAAUUGGGCACAGCAAGUUGUCCCGGGCGAAUUGGUCAGGGCGAGUCAGCCAUGGCGAGUUAUUCUAGACCCGCUGGGAGGUGCCCAACUCACACUGGCUACUUUUAGCCCAUCCUUCCCCUUGUGUUGCUCUCAACUUCCCUCCGUGACCAUUUUGGUUCAGGCAGCAGGAAUGAUUAAGCAGACAGCAAAGCAGGAUGGGGGAUUUCCCUAAGCAAAUAACAGUAUGAGAGGCAGAGUAAGUGAAAGGGAAUGAUGAGGGAGGGAGAACCUGAGAGAAGCAGGCUGGUGACAGCAAGUGAAGCAGAAACACACAUACACACAUACACACACCUCAUUCUAAGGGACAGGUUCUGAUGAAUAGUUAAAAACCCAUGGUUCAGGCCAUCUGUCAAAACUUGCUCCUUCCAGCUCAAGACCAUUAGGGAGAGCAACUAACUCCUCCCCCCCCAGCCUAGCAAGCAAGAUUGAAAACGGGUAGGAGGAAAAUGUUUGCAGCUACCAAUCACUGUUUCUUCUCUUUUUAAAACCUUGUUCUGUAUUAAAUGGCCAGGAAAAGUACCACUGGUUCCUUGGUUAAUGAGGCAGAGUAAAAGGUCAGUUGUAGGAACAGAGCAAAUUUACCCAGUCAUCUUUUGUGCUACUUACAGAACAGAGGAAAUUGGAAUGGACUUGCAUUCCAGCAUCGCAAACACUGGUCCUCAUCAGAGGACAUAACAAAUCCAGAAGUAAAUUGGCUAUUUCCAGAGCGAAGGGAAAUACACAUUAAGAAAAUAAGCCAUUUAGGACACCAUCCUCCCCUGCAGCAGUUCCCAUCAUACCCAGCCACAAUAACCAGGCAUGUAAAAAAAGAUACAGUUCAACAACUUUGGAGAAUCUCUUAUCUUCUUUAAGGCUGUUAAAUGUGGCUAAGACACUGAGCUUGUCGAUCAGAAAGGUCAGCAGUUCGGCGGUUCAAAUCCCUAAUACAGGUCUCCUGCAUGAGCAGGGGGUUGGACUAGAUGACCUCCAAGCAGUGGUGGGAUUCAGCCAGUUCACACCUAUUCGGGAGAACCAGUUGUUAACUUUCUAAGCAGUUCGGAGAACCGGUUGUUGGAAGAAAUCUUAUUUUGUUUUUUUCCACUUUACAGGGCUAAUCCUGUAAGGAAAGCAGGAAGGAAACAUUCUGGUGUUGUUUCUAGCCUAAUCUUUAUUGCCCUGUUUACAGAAACUGCCUCUCCUGUUAACCCUUAUUACAUUGUAACAGCUAAGUCAUUACAACAUGAGUGAUGUUAAGUUGACCAUGCCCAAAUGGUCACAUGACCACCGAGCCACGCCUACCCAGUGGUCAUUAGGACAGAGAACUGGUUGUUAAAUUAUUUGAAUCCCACCACUGUCUCCAAGGUAUCUUCCAACAUGUAUACAUGUUCUCCAGGUGCUAAUCUUUAGGCACUGCUGCUCAUUCUGUCUACCUGGAUAGGAUGAAAGAUUUCGGCAGCAGGUUUGGAGAAAUCUGCAAAAGAAUGUCAACCUAAUCUUAAUUUAAAAAGAUCCCUGAAAGUUGCUCAGUGGGAAUGAAACGUAUACAAUGGCUGCAGAAUAUUACUGGGGAGAUAAUAUGAAAAAUGAUACAAGAGGAGGUGGAAUGAGGUUCAGUGUUUAGAGUUGAGGUCUGACUGGAUUGCCAGAGCCCUGAACAACACACAACUCUGCCUUGCAACUUCUUGUUGCAGUCCGUUUUGAUUGGGUUACUUUGGUCUCCCUUUAGAAAAGGAUAUAUUAGACCACAGAGAUCUUCAGUCACUGCAUUUUGAAACCUAUCUAUUGCUCUAGACCUCUGAACUGCUUUGGAGAAACGGAAACUACUGAGUCAAGAGGAAAGAUAAAAGGAGACCUGAAUUCCCUUUUACAGUUAUCAAAACAGUAAUGCAAAACUAAUGCAAAGUUCCCCAGAUGGCAGCCUAGUAACCGUAGAAAACACAGUUCAGCAUCACCAGGUGGACAGGGAUCUUCUAAAUCUGAAACUCUGCUUCCCCAUUGGUGUUUCAUGCAGUCAGUUUUGCCCAAGAACCAGGAUGUUUGCUAAAUUUCCUAACCCAUUCUAUAUUGCCAAUUAAGAUAAGCAUAGUUAAGAGCUACAUUUCCUGGAUCAAUAGCUGCAAAAAAAAAAAAGCCACCAUCGCAAGCGGCUUUAAAAGCAAGCUUUGCAACUCCUAUUAGCUGUGAGGCUAUAGCAGAGAACUUGCAGUAUGUUAGUCAGGUUUACUAUUAGUUCCAUGACUGUUGCUACAUUUUAUGUAAUACAUCCAUUUAGUUCUUUGCAAUGCGUUGUGUUCGCUUAGCUAUGCAACCUGCUCCUCCUCAAAAAAUUAAAAAUAGCUUAACUUUUACUGAGUUGGCAAAAAAAAAAAUGGAUCUUCUCCCUCGAGAUAUAAGCAAUAUUAAACAUAUUUUUGUUUACUUUAUUCUUUUAAUGGAAAUGGAUCAGAAUGGUACCGAUGGUAAGCAGUGAUGGAGCAGAAUGGGAAUCUUAUGUUCUGCAGCUCCGGGGUAUUUUUCAGAGAGGGAGUGAUUAUGUCAUCUGUCAACCUGCCAAGCUCCUUGACAGCCUUGUUCUGACAGGUGAAAGAGGUGAUAACAAGGCUUUCAAAUUUUACUUCCGUGUCUGACAGGUUAACACAGGAGAAGUCAAAGAAUGAGAAAAAUAAUAAAUCUGAAACUGAUUUUUCUUUAAACGGGGUUUCUUACACCGCGCUAGCCGUUUAAAUGUUAACACUUCUUCGCAAGAUUGUUUGCAUUUCUAAUUAAAAACUAAAGGUUGCAUUUCA